CACGGGGGGAGCAAGCGUUGUUCGGAUUCAUUGGGCGUAAAGGGCUCGUAGGUGGCUUUGUAAGUCGGAGGGGAAAUCCCAUGGCUCAACCAUGGACACGCCUUCGAAGCUGUGAAGCUUGAGGCUGGGAGAGGAGAUCGGAAUUCCUGGUGUAGCGGUGAAAUGCGUAGAUAUCAGGAGGAACACCGGUGGCGAAGGCGGAUCUCUGGACCAGUUCUGACACUGAUGAGCGAAAGCCAGGGGAGCAAACAGG
rnacentral:rRNA from 1 species